CAGCGCCCUGCAGGGUCGGCCGGCAGCACGUGCGUCCGCAUCGCGGCACAGAAAGUUCCAGCAGCAGCUACACGGGGCAACCGGGGGACGGCGGCAGCUUAGGGACGGCUUUCUUGAGCGCUUUUCGGCUCGGCUGAUCGAACGCCCGGGGCUGAGGAUGCAGCUACAACAGAACAGAGCAGUCCUUAUGUGUCACCUAUCCCUGAUCCACCCUUCCUCAGCUCCAUGCCAGAGGAACAGGGUCCAGAAGGUGGUGCAGUUGCAUGGCUUACAGCAUGGCAGUCAUCAGCAUCUUCCUCUUCAAGAAGUAAUUGGGAAUGCUGAAAUGGCUCCUUACAUCCCCACCGUG